rnacentral:rRNA from 1 species
AGCACCUACGGGUGUGAAGUCAUUGAUGCCAUGCUUCCAGGAAAAGCCUCUAAGCUUCAGAUUGUAAGGAAUCGUACCCCAAACCGACACAGGUGGUCGGGUAGAGAAUACCAAGGCGCUUGAGAGAACUCGGGUGAAGGAACUAGGCAAAAUGGUACCGUAACUUCGGGAGAAGGUACGCUCUUGAUGGUGAAGUCCCUCGCGGAUGGAGCUGACGAGAGUCGCAGAUACCAGGUGGCUGCAACUGUUUAUUAAAAACACAGCACUGUGCAAAAUCGUAAGAUGACGUAUACGGUGUGACGCCUGCCCGGUGCCGGAAGGUUAAUUGAUGGGGUUAGACUUCGGUCGAAGCUCUUGAUCGAAGCCCCGGUAAACGGCGGCCGUAACUAUAACGGUCCUAAGGUAGCGAAAUUCCUUGUCGGGUAAGUUCCGACCUGCACGAAUGGCGUAAUGAUGGCCACGCUGUCUCCACCCGAGACUCAGUGAAAUUGAAAUCGCUGUGAAGAUGCAGUGUACCCGCGGCUAGACGGAAAGACCCCGUGAACCUUUACUACAGCUUGGCACUGAACAUUGACCCUACAUGUGUAGGAUAGGUGGGAGGCUUUGAAGCACGUACGCCAGUAUGUGUGGAGCCGUCCUUGAAAUACCACCCUUGUAGUGUUGAUGUUCUAACGUCGACCCCUUAUCGGGGUUGCGGACAGUGCCUGGUGGGUAGUUUGACUGGGGCGGUCUCCUCCCAAAGAGUAACGGAGGAGCACGAAGGUGGGCUAAUCACGGUUGGACAUCGUGAGGUUAGUGCAAUGGCAUAAGCCCGCUUGACUGCGAGAAUGACAAUUCGAGCAGGUGCGAAAGCAGGUCAUAGUGAUCCGGUGGUUCUGAAUGGAAGGGCCAUCGCUCAACGGAUAAAAGGUACUCCGGGGAUAACAGGCUGAUACCGCCCAAGAGUUCAUAUCGACGGCGGUGUUUGGCACCUCGAUGUCGGCUCAUCACAUCCUGGGGCUGAAGUCGGUCCCAAGGGUAUGGCUGUUCGCCAUUUAAAGUGGUACGCGAGCUGGGUUUAGAACGUCGUGAGACAGUUCGGUCCCUAUCUGCCGUGGGCGUUGGAAGAUUGAAGGGGGCUGCUCCUAGUACGAGAGGACCGGAGUGGACGAACCUCUGGUGUUCGGGUUGUGUCGCCAGACGCAUUGCCCGGUAGCUAAGUUCGGAAUCGAUAACCGCUGAAAGCAUCUAAGCGGGAAGCGAGCCCUGAGAUGAGUCUUCCCUGAUACUUUAAGUAUCCUAAAGGGUUGUCGGAGACUACGACGUUGAUAGGUCAGGUGUGUAAGUGCUGUGAGGCAUUGAGCUAACUGAUACUAAUUGCCCGUGAGGCUUAACCAUACAACACCCAAGGGGUUU